CCAUUCUUAUCCGUCCGUUAAAUACUCCACUAUCACAGCGUAUCUCGACUCUGAAUUACUUGGGCAGCAACGAUACCUGCUAUGGGAUGAAGUUGCUUCCCAAAAGCCAAGACUACUUACUUCAUUUACACCGCAUUUACACCGUUUCAGUGUCAGAAAACCGCAUCGAAUCAACUAUAUCUAUCUUCAGUACUAUCAAGGUCAUGGAAUGAAGAGCUGGGUGCAAACAUAGAGUCAUGGAUCUAGUCUGCCACCCAUGUACCGCCACCAAAUACUACUCGAGAGAGCCGUCUAGCUGCAGUGGGGAAGAUUCAAACCCGAGGGUGGCGUGGCGGAUUUGUGCAAUGGGAGAUGAACUCCCCGCCCAGUCGCUUUGUAUUUCUACAACGAAUCGAAACCAAUGUUGAGGAAGCUUCAACGCAAUUCAUCCAUCUUGCACCCCCCCUUUUUCCUAUAUCGCGCAAGUGUGUGCCAUGGCCACCCUGAGGGAUCCGUUGAUGAGGUUCAAGCCAGGCAUUCCUUAUGAGAUAAGGUACGGAUUGAUUGAGGGCGAUGUUCUUUUCCUGAUCAUGUACUGGUGCUUUCGACCCCUCGUUGCUUUUACCAGUUCUAUUCAUCUUUGACAUCCCAUCUUGCUUUCUAAUCUGCCCGUCUACAUUAUUUUACCUGGGCGCAACCGUUCCAUUCAACAUUAGGCGGCAGUUUUGAGGGAUUGAGAGGAGAGAUAGAAGUUUGGAUCAGGCAAGAGAUCAAACGCUGUCAGAGGAGAGGCAAUAUAUGCCGAAUGAUUAUGUUAACUGGAUGACACAAGAACCGGCCUUUCUCUGACAUCUGCUCGCCUUCUGCGGUCGCCAAUCCACAACCUUUUCACUCAUUAUCCAUCCCUCGGCCUCAUCUGGUCACUCUCAUUCUUCAUGUCAACCUGCCGACUAGUAUCCUUGUAGGUUUGAUCUCCUGCUAUCUCCGCUUCGCCUUCUCAAGCAUAUCCCGUCACAACGGUGUAGUUUCCCAACCAGCUUUCGUUGCGGUCAUAGGCUAAGAGAGACUCGAGUUGGAUAAAGAGAGAUCGAUGCGAUAGGGAUAACAGGGAAUCAUGAAGGACCGAGAGCAGAAAAUGAUGAGGAUUGGAAGGGAUGUCACGAGAUCAGCAAAGGAAUGUGUCUGGCUUUCACGGGUUCCAAGCGACAAUCUAAGCGAGGAAACACAAGAAGAGAGGCACCAGUGACUGAGCUUGACAGAAUAUGCAAGAGGACCGUCACAAGGGACGAGGAGUUAUUGAGCAGUUGAAUGCUGGCAACGUACUAUGCUUUACGGUCUUGACAAAAAGUUUUCAAAGUCUUUGCGAGAUAGUUACGACGGAAAAGGUCAUUGAGCGGAGCCGAAAUAUGUCAAAUCAGCACGCCGUUUCAAGUGUAGGGAAGCGAGAGAGGCCGGGAAGAUAGAAAACAGGGCUAGCGAUGGGGGGUAUAUGUGUGUGGAUGGACGGAAGUUUACAGUAAAAUUCAGGCUUAUGCUCUUAGCAAGAUAAAGUGCGCACCUAUACGCAGUGUCUUCUAUCAUGUUGUAGAAGCACAACUUAGAAUAAGCGCAAUAGGUGGCAUGAUGCAGAGUAGAAGAGCAUCUGCUAAUGGACUGUGACUUGGGUAAGCCUGUUCUUUCGCACCUUAGCGCUCUCUGUUGCGCAUUAUAACCUAUGCAUUGCAUCCUAC
rnacentral:sRNA from 1 species